UAGUGGAACUGGAACAAGCUGUUAUUAUAACCAAAUCAUUGAAAUUAACAAUUGUUCAUCUAAGCUAUGGCUUCCAUAGACAAUAACCAAAAAUUUAUUUUACUCCUAAUUUUUUCACUAAUUUCUCUGUCUUCUUCUAAUACAGUACUUGCUAAGUCUCGCCGUCCAAUCUCUGAUGCAGAGAUCAGAGAGAAGAAACUCCAAUGUUAUGCAGAUAUUGAGAGUGGAUUAUGGGGUCAGAAGUGCAUUGCUACAGCAGUAGACAAGGAGAAUUGUGCUCUACAAUGUUUGUCACCAGUUUGUUAUGAGCGCGUUUAUCAAAGUGAUCCUUUGGAGGAAGGGGAAAAAGAUACAGUAAGGAGUCAAGAAUACAAGUACUGCAUGCACAAAGUGCCAACGCGUGUCUGAACUGGCAACAAGCAGUGAAGCAGAUGAAACUACUCGCUGAAAAUAAUUAUCUUUAAACCUUUCUUCUUCUACUGUCUACCCCUCCUCAUGUUUAUAUUCUAUUGAAAUAGAAACUAGAACAUAUGAUGUCUGAUACCGGAUAAUGUUUGUAUACACAGAAUGGUAAAUAGUAUUGAGGCACUCCCUUGGGCAGAGCUUGGAUGAUAUUAAAGGUUCGUUCGAGUGGUAAAUUGGCAAAUCUGCCAGUAUGGCUUGUGAAUUCCUGCGUCUUUUCCCAUUAACAACUCUGUUGUAUGUAUGAUGUUUGUCGUGUGGAUGUUCAUUGAUUAUACUGAUCUGUAACAACAUGUACUCCUUUCAGAGAUUUAAGGUUUUUGUAUCCAUUUCUUUCCCUUCGGGUGUUUAGGAACAAUAAAUCUCCUUUCGCUUCGUGACCCCAUGAGGGUAAUACUUGUACAAAUUUACUUCAAUUCAACCAGUUAUAGUGUGUUGUUACUCCUUUUUU